AUUCACAUGAAAUUGAACUGUUCAACUGUUGAAUGAUACAGAUAUGAACUAAAACUUAAUUCUGACAGAA
rnacentral:snoRNA from 1 species